AACCUCCGCAAUGUGAGAAAUCGCGACGGGGGGAUCCCAAGUGCCAUUCUUAACGGGAUGGCUUUUCAUUAGUGUAAAGAGCUUUUGGAAUAAGGGCUGGGCAAGACCGGUGCCAGCCGCCGCGGUAACACCGGCAGCUCUAGUGGUAGCAGUUUUUAUUGGGCCUAAAGCGUCCGUAGCCGGUUUAAUAAGUCUCUGGUGAAAUCCUGUAGCUUAACUGUGGGAAUUGCUGGAGAUACUAUUAGACUUGAGACCGGGAGAGGUUAGAGGUACUCCCAGGGUAGAGGUGAAAUUCUGUAAUCCUGGGAGGACCGCCUGUUGCGAAGGCGUCUAACUGGAACGGUUCUGACGGUGAGGGACGAAAGUUAGGGGCGCGAACCGGAUUAGAUACCCGGGUAGUCCUAACUGUAAACGAUGCGGACUUGGUGUUGGGGUGGCUUUGAGCUGCUCCAGUGCCGAAGGAAGCUGUUAAGUCCGCCGCCUGGAAGUACGGUCGCAAGACUGAAACUUAAAGGAAUU
rnacentral:rRNA from 1 species